AUGAACGCUAGCUACAGGCUUAACACAUGCAAGUCGAGGGGCAGCAUGGUCUUAGCUUGCUAAGGCCGAUGGCGACCGGCGCACGGGUGAGUAACACGUAUCCAACCUGCCGUCUACUCUUGGACAGCCUUCUGAAAGGAAGAUUAAUACAAGAUGGCAUCAUGAGUCCGCAUGUUCACAUGAUUAAAGGUAUUCCGGUAGACGAUGGGGAUGCGUUCCAUUAGAUAGUAGGCGGGGUAACGGCCCACCUAGUCUUCGAUGGAUAGGGGUUCUGAGAGGAAGGUCCCCCACAUUGGAACUGAGACACGGUCCAAACUCCUACGGGAGGCAGCAGUGAGGAAUAUUGGUCAAUGGGCGAGAGCCUGAACCAGCCAAGUAGCGUGAAGGAUGACUGCCCUAUGGGUUGUAAACUUCUUUUAUAAAGGAAUAAAGUCGGGUAUGGAUACCCGUUUGCAUGUACUUUAUGAAUAAGGAUCGGCUAACUCCGUGCCAGCAGCCGCGGUAAUACGGAGGAUCCGAGCGUUAUCCGGAUUUAUUGGGUUUAAAGGGAGCGUAGAUGGAUGUUUAAGUCAGUUGUGAAAGUUUGCGGCUCAACCGUAAAAUUGCAGUUGAUACUGGAUAUCUUGAGUGCAGUUGAGGCAGGCGGAAUUCGUGGUGUAGCGGUGAAAUGCUUAGAUAUCACGAAGAACUCCGAUUGCGAAGGCAGCCUGCUAAGCUGCAACUGACAUUGAGGCUCGAAAGUGUGGGUAUCAAACAGGAUUAGAUACCCUGGUAGUCCACACGGUAAACGAUGAAUACUCGCUGUUUGCGAUAUACGGCAAGCGGCCAAGCGAAAGCGUUAAGUAUUCCACCUGGGGAGUACGCCGGCAACGGUGAAACUCAAAGGAAUUGACGGGGGCCCGCACAAGCGGAGGAACAUGUGGUUUAAUUCGAUGAUACGCGAGGAACCUUACCCGGGCUUAAAUUGCAGAUGAAUUACGGUGAAAGCCGUAAGCCGCAAGGCAUCUGUGAAGGUGCUGCAUGGUUGUCGUCAGCUCGUGCCGUGAGGUGUCGGCUUAAGUGCCAUAACGAGCGCAACCCUUGUUGUCAGUUACUAACAGGUUCCGCUGAGGACUCUGACAAGACUGCCAUCGUAAGAUGUGAGGAAGGUGGGGAUGACGUCAAAUCAGCACGGCCCUUACGUCCGGGGCUACACACGUGUUACAAUGGGGGGUACAGAGGGCCGCUACCACGCGAGUGGAUGCCAAUCCCCAAAACCUCUCUCAGUUCGGACUGGAGUCUGCAACCCGACUCCACGAAGCUGGAUUCGCUAGUAAUCGCGCAUCAGCCACGGCGCGGUGAAUACGUUCCCGGGCCUUGUACACACCGCCCGUCAAGCCAUGGGAGCCGGGGGUACCUGAAGUGCGUAACCGCGAGGAGCGCCCUAGGGUAAAACUGGUGACUGGGGCU
rnacentral:rRNA from 1 species